rnacentral:lncRNA from 1 species
UACUAUACUCUUAUGAGUAUAGAGUUCUUUGUACUCAUAAAUUAUUUUCGAUGUUGGGGCUUUCGAAUCGACAAUUCACACCGUUAAACAUGAUCUAGAGUAUUUGAAACUUCUAGAAAAUAAAUUUCGUAAUUUUUUGAAAUCAUUAUAAAGUCGAACGACGUCCUAAAAAUAGAUGAUUGGAUCCUUCAAUUUAAGAUCGGAGUUGUUGAUCUUUAGUUAGGUAGUGAAUAGAAUUUUCUAUCAAAAAUUCAACCUAUUCCGAUUCUUUUUCACCGUUAAACUAGCAAAUAUCUCAUAUCGGCCGUUAAAAAUUGUCAAUUUUGUGAGCUUUUGAUCGUAAGAUAAAUAAUAUCGAAAAAUUACAAAAUUUGAUUUUUAGAAGUUUUAAAUGCUUUAGAUAAUGUUUAACGGUAUGGAUCGUUGAUUCGGAAGCCCUAUCAACGAAAAUAACUUAUGAGUACGAAGGCGAU